CCGGCGCACGGGUGAGUAACACGUAUGCAACCUGCCCGUCUCAGGGGGAUAAUCGUCGGAAACGGCGUCUAAUACCCCGUAUGAAGCUGGAUGGCAUCGUCUGGUUUUGAAAGAAUAUCGGAGACGGAUGGGCAUGCGGCGCAUUAGCUAGUUGGCGGGGUAACGGCCCACCAAGGCGCCGAUGCGUAGGGGUUCUGAGAGGAAGGUCCCCCACACUGGUACUGAGACACGGACCAGACUCCUACGGGAGGCAGCAG
rnacentral:rRNA from 1 species